CUUUACAGAUGAACUUGGCAUUAGGGAUGUAGCAGUAUAAAAAUUCGACCUCACGGUUAUCAUGAUCAAAGAAGGCAUGUUUUUCGAUAUUAUCACAGUAUUUUAAAAAUGUAUGCAGAGGCAUUUAUUACGACAUUUUUCAUGCUUUUAACUAGCGCUAAACAAGGCCUUAUUUUCAUCGUUCCAUCAUAUCGAGACAGGAUUCCUGUCUUCAACUAAGCGCUGCCCUAUUCCUACAAAACCCAAAAUAUGCCCAUACUUCAGACUCUGUCCUCUUAGAGGCCUGAUGGAUGUCUUGUCUCUUCCUUCUGCCGUGAUUCCAUUUCAAACUUAAAGGGAUAUUCCGGCGUAAAUUUAAUUUAGGGUUAAACACACCAUAACACAGAGUUAGACAUCCCCUCGAGAGAUGAAUGUUGCAGACUGCUUGCUUUUCUGGUUAUACCAACUUUAGUAGCAACCGCACGAUAGCAAUACACAGCAGUCUGAGGAGCCAUAAACAAACCUCAACCAAAACGCCACUCUAUAACCACAAAUAAUGCUCAGAACAGCACCUUACUUCAUCAACAGGACAUAUAGGGUCCCAGCCAUAGUACUAGUCACCAAACAUCAUUUAGCUUUGCCUAAUUUCUUUAGUAAAGAGACUAAACAAAACUCACCUACUCUCCUCCAGCAGCCGCUUGUUUGUAGCGAGACCUCAGGCCAGUCCAUUAAGGACUGCUGCGGGGUGACGCAGCUCAAGGAAGAACAUUUAUGAUCAUUACUUUAUCAUUUCCUUUAAGUAAUAAUCAUCGUAAUAAUCAUUUUCACUGCAGACCCGGUAGUUCUUCUGCCUUAGCGUCUCAGUCUGAUUGCAUUUCCAUAAAGAAAUGAUCAUAAAUGUUCUUCAUUGAGCUGCGAAACUCCACUGUAGUCUGUAAUGAACUGGCCCUAGGUCUCGCUACAAAUAAGCAGCUGCUGCACGCGCCAAGUAUUAGCAUUAGCGAGUUAUUGUCGGCUGUCACACAGCUGAUUCAUUGCACACACACACCGGUUUUUGAAAUGAAAACGGUUAUCGUUCUCACGAUUUACCAUUACACAGGUUACCAUCACAUUCCUACUUGGCAUCGAGUCUUGUGUCUUUUUCCCACCAGAUUCAAACACCUCACUUUUCUUUUCACUUGCUCCUUUUUCCAUCCGUCUGCCCUGCCAGUAACUUUGCUGCUCUUCCUCUUUUUCUCUCACUGUCCUAAGCAACAAGCCUGACUGUUCAAUAACUCCUUAAAGAAAAGGAAGAACGAAGGGGGAAAAAAAAGAAAAGGACUCCUUGGCUCUUCAGGUGUUUGUCUUCAGCCCGUCUCCUUUCAUCAGUCAUGCCAGGAAAGGAAACAAAAAUAGAACAAUCGAUCGUCAGACACUUCCUUAAGAGCUAAAGGGCUUAACCUUCAGUAAUGGCUUUUUAACUGGUUAUGAAAGGGCCUGAAUUUAACACUGAUGCCUCUUUAUGACCUACAAAAUAAAAACAGACCAUCAGUGUGAGGACUGGCUGAAUCUACUGAGGAAAUGCAACGCCAU